CCAGGAUAAACCCAAGAAAUGCCCCCUCAUGCCCCUCCCCUUAUAAAAUAGAUGUUUUUGUAACUGCUUGUUCUGCUUCUGUAAACUUGCUUCAUCCCUUCUCAGAAAGAGAUAGUGCCUGGUGCCUCCCUUUACUGUAAAUUGCCCCAACCUGAUAAGACAGCAAAAUAGCUGAGUUGUAAAAAACUACUUUUGCAACUAGUCAAAAACAUGUUAAUCUAUCCUUGAACUUCUCUUCUUAAAAUAACACCUACAAAAGCUAUGCUGUUAUAACAUCCUAUAUAAACUGUGCUAUUCCUGGACUCAGGGCUUCACUUCACUUAGAGAGUGGAGUCCAAGUGCGUGAAAAAACUUUCAGCUUUAACUUUGUUGUUUGUCCCAGUGUUUGGUGAUUUACCGGCUUGCUUGGUACAGCAUUCUUGGAGGCCCCAGUGAGAUAUCACCAUCACUCAGUAACUUCUGACCAGUGGACAGCCCCUGUCUCAGGCUGCAGUGGCCUGAGUCCUGGGGAGGCCACCCUGACCAUCUGAUCAGGGCCCUGGGGGCUCGGAUCUCCAGUGGAGGAUUUGGGUCAUUCCAGCCAUACUGAGAGGAGUUUAUCUGGAAAACCUCUGGAGGUCAGACCCUCCAGGUAAUCCAACAGGAGCUGCAAAAUUGAGUUCGGGAGGCAAGGCCAGCCCCUCAACCUGAAAACUGCUCCUGAAUACACCCCAGGGGACAAAUGGAAGAUCAUCAGUCAACCAGGUGUUAGGUAUUGUGUCUCAGAGAUCUGGGAAAAAUAAGACAGCAGGGAAGAAUACAGACAAGACUAGAGUGAGUGGGAAGAGUAAAAGAUUUUUAAAACACACAAUUUGAGAUCUCUUUGAGGAAAUGGCUUUUGAGAAGAAAAAUAAUGAGAAGUCAUAUUUUAAGUAAAGGGAACAAGAAACAAAAAACAGGUAAGAAUAUGUAAAAAGCUACAUUUGUUAAAGAUAUCAGCUUUGGUUUCAGCAGAGAAAUUCAAAAGGUGUAGUGAGUUAAAAACAAACAAACAAAAACCUGCUAAAAUAUCCAGGUCCUCAUCCCCAGUGUGUGAAUGCUGCCUUAUAUGACAAAAGGAAAUUUUCCAGAUGUGGUUAAGAAUGGUGAAAUAAGGGAUUUAUCUUGGAUCAUAUAAAUAAAACUUAUCUGUACUUGCAUGUGUAUUUAUAACAUAGAGGCAGAAGGACAUUUGGCUGUAGGAAACAGGAAGUAAGAGGAUGGUGUGACACAGAUAAGGAGUCACCAGCUAAGGAUUUGGGAAGCAGGAAAAGGCAAACAGAUUCUGCUGUGAAGCCUGUUGGAAAAAAAGCCUUGCUGACCAUCUGAUCUGGUUUUGGACUUCUAGCCUCUAGAGAUAUAAGGUAACUUUGUGUUGUUUUAAGGCAAGAUAUUUGUGGUAAUUAGUUAACAGCAGUAAUUGGUAAUGAAUUCAUGGAAAAACAACAGAAAAUGACUUCAGAAAGGCAGUAGUGACUGGAACAUUUGAGGCACUGUAGAAAGAUAAUAGUAAAGGUAAAGGCCGUUAGAAGCUCCUGUUAAUAUUGUAAACAACAGAUUUCAGUGAAUCAGAUCCAGAUAGUUGUGGUGGUUGAAGACAGGGAAAUACAUGUUUAAGGUGGAGUCCAUAGAGUAUGCUAAUGACGAGAGGCUGUAGAGUGAAGAAGAAAAUCAUCCAACAGCCUGUAUCAUCCAGGUUAUUGUGCACCAUUCAUGAGAGAUGGCUAAAUUUGCAUGCUGAUUAUGACAGCUAGUUGAAAGGGAAUCAGGAGUUAAUAUUUGGACAAUAUUCUAUUUUAAGCAGUGGAGUUGCUUUAAACUUGAACUAAUGAAUAAAGACUCAUGGAAAAGGAAUAUUCAGGGACAAUUCGAGCAGUAGCCCUUUACACUCCCAAUUCCCAUGGGAUACUUAAAGCCAUACUAUGACAAACAAAAGAUAAGCCUUUUGCAAGGACAACAAAAGCAAUUUAUUAUUCUUUUAUAUUUUUUAUAAUAAUUCUAUCCAAAAUUCAAAUUGACAUUUUAAUUAAUAUUUGAGAAAAAUUCUGGCAGACAAAAGAAGACAUAAUACUAAGUUUAAAAAAUGAAAAUGCUAAUUGAUAUGGAUAAUGUGAUGAUAAAUAAAGGCACAAGUUAAAAUCAGUAAGCUCACAAAGAAAUUAAAUCAAGAAACAGUUUGGGACUUCAGUAGUUUGGAAUGAUAGCUCAUAUUAUCCUAAGUCAAAAUAAGUUUGGAAUUUCAUGGAUGUAACCAAUUCAGAACAGCAAAAAAUGAUAGCAUUACUGAAAUGAAACUCAUAAAAAUUUCUCAUGAUAAUAGCAUUUGUGACAGCAAAACAAAAUUCUAACUUUAUUCUGAAUUUCACUGGUCAUUUGAGAGACGCAGAUGAAGACAACACUGAGAUUCCACCUCACCCCAGAAAGAAUGGCUGCUAUCAAGAAAUCAACCAAUAACAAAUGCUGGUGGGGGUGUGGAG